AUUUAAAUAGUUUAAAAAAAAUAUUGAUUUGUGGAAUCAGGGAUAUAUUAUUGUAUUUUAAAUA
rnacentral:tRNA from 1 species